CGUCCCGUGCGCGCCGAGUCCGCGCAAGCGCCCUUGGGAGUUGUAGUUUGCCUUCCAGAAUCCGUUUUCUUCUUUCCCUGUCCCUCCUAGAAUCCAUGGUUUUAUUGCGGAAGUCUGUAGUUUCGCUGCUCACCACGAGACUGAUCAGCUUUGGAAGUGUUGCACUCUUUUCCUCUUUCAGUUCGUGGGAUGGCCUAGAAUGACGGGGUUGAGGGUUGUGAGGGAAGCUGUACUAAUAAAAUUUAAAGACCCUUUCCCUGUAUCAAUGGACUGCCCCAUCGAGCUAGAUGUUGAUUGGUAGAUAGAAAGGGGCGAGCCAAGAAUCUCUCAUCUGAUUGGUUGUAGCGGAAAACCUUUCGCUUUUUCUUUCCUUCAGCAAGAAUUUCGCCGCUUGCCGGGUUCCUCACUUGUAGUGUGUUUCGUUGGUUUUCGUUCUGUUGCUUUCGAACUUUGGGUUCUCUGCGAUGGAGUCGGAAGGGAGGAGUUGUCUCCGUUAGAGGAGCACCCACAGACGCUCCAAGUCCUGAGGUUCACCGAAAGUGGGGAAGGCAGUCGCUUACACUCACCUAAGAGCAAGAAGUGACCACUUCUCAAUACUAAGGAGGUGAUGUGAUAUUAGAAUGUGUCAGUCUGUAAAUUGAUCUGCAUGAAAUGAUAUUCAAGCAAGAAGCCACUACAUAUUCUCUACUUUAAUCUUGGAAAAAAAAAAUCACUGACUGAAUCUCUCACCUCCUGAAGCCCAACGGAUGACUACUGUGCUGGAGAACUAAUUUGCCUACUGAAUGAGAAAAAUUGGUCACCAGAGAACCAGAAAACUCAAAAGAACCUUCUGAGGUCAUCAGAACAUCGAUUGGCCAGAGCAGUGCAGCCUCCCUCCCAUCACUUCCCUCUCUCUGAACGUGAUCUCUGUGAACUGGGAUUUUGGAAGUGGAUUUGCAGGAUUGAUUACUGGGGAGAAUUUUCCCCAAGGAACAGGAAGAAACAGUCUCUUAUGUAACUGCUCAGAAAGGAGGCUUGAAGAAGAUACUAGUUCCUUGGAGUCUGUCCUCUACAGAUGAGAACCACUACCUGAAUUGUUGAGAAGAUAAAUAAUGCAGCAUUUUAACAGGCUCUGAGACCCUUGAAAGAUGGCUUUUGUAAGUACUGGGUAUGAUAUUAUCAUUGUCAUUAUUACCUUAUCACUUUAUCUUUGCAGAAAAUGAUGCUUGGAAAAGCUUGCUGGUCAUUUUGAUAUCAAUUUCUGGCCAACUUCUUCUUCCCUAAUUUCUUUCCAUGCUGAUGGACAUUAAGCCAAUUUAACUAUCCACUCAAUCUCCCUAGUGUAUCAUGUACAUCCUGACCUUUGAUUCUCUGCUCCCAUCAUGUCCCCUGCAUGCUCUUCCUCUUCCUCUUCCUCUUUCUAAAUCUAGCCCUUUUCUCAAGCACUUGGAGAAGCUGUGGAGGCAAGGACUGAGUCUCCGAAUGCAUCCUAUUCAAGCCCAAUCAGGUUAGCAACUGCUAGACUUUGCAUCAGGUCAUUUUAAAGGUCAUCAAACUGAAAUAUAACUUGUACACUCUUCAACUUGAUUUUGAUAGAGAAUUAUUUCCUCUGUCUUGCUUCUCUGUGCAACAGUCAGAAUUGAAACUGUAUAUAACAU